GACGAACGCUGGCGGCGUGCUUAACACAUGCAAGUCGAACGGAAAGGCCCCCUUGUGGGGUACUCGAGUGGCGAACGGGUGAGUAACACGUGAGUAACCUACCCUUGACUUUGGGAUAACUUCAGGAAACUGGGGCUAAUACCGGAUAGGAGCUCCUGCUGCAUGGUGGGGUUGGAAAGUUUCGGCGGUUGGGGAUGGACUCGCGGCUUAUCAGCUUGUUGGUGGGGUAGUGGCUCACCAAGGCUUUGACGGGUAGCCGGCCUGAGAGGGUGACCGGCCACAUUGGGACUGAGAUACGGCCCAGACUCCUACGGGAGGCAGCAGUGGGAAUAUUGCACAAUGGGCGGAAGCCUGAUGCAGCAACGCCGCGUGCGGGAUGACGGCCU
rnacentral:rRNA from 1 species